ACACCGGCAGCUCUAGUGGUAGCAGUUUUUAUUGGGCCUAAAGCGUCCGUAGCCGGUUUAAUAAGUCUCUGGUGAAAUCCUGUAGCUUAACUGUGGGAAUUGCUGGAGAUACUAUUAGACUUGAGACCGGGAGAGGUUAGAGGUACUCCCAGGGUAGAGGUGAAAUUCUGUAAUCCUGGGAGGACCGCCUGUUGCGAAGGCGUCUAACUGGAACGGUUCUGACGGUGAGGGACGAAAGUUAGGGGCGCGAACCGGAUUAGAUACCCGGGUAGUCCUAACUGUAAACGAUGCGGACUUGGUGCUGGGGUGGCUUUGAGCUGCUCCAGUGCCGAAGGGAAGCUGUUAAGUCCGCCGCCUGGGAAGUACGGUCGCAAGACUGAAACUCAAAGGAAUUGACGGGG
rnacentral:rRNA from 1 species